rnacentral:rRNA from 1 species
AGACGUAGGAUGCAAGUGUUAUCCGGAAUCACUGGGCGUAAAGCGUCUGUAGGUUGUUUGGUAAGUCCAAUGUUAAAGGUUGAAGGCUCAACUUCAAAAAUGCGUUGGAAACUACUAGACUGGAGUAUAAUUGAAGCAGAAGGAAUUUCUAGUGAAGCGGUGAAAUGCGUAGAUAUUAGAAGGACCACCAAAGGCGAAAGCAUUCUGUUAAAUUAUUACUGACACUCAGAGACGAAAGCUAGGGUAGCAAAUGGGAUUAGAUACCCCAGUAGUCCUAGCCGUAAACGAUGGAUACUAGACAUUGCACGUGUCGAUCCGUGCGGUGUCAAAGCUAACGCGUUAAGUAUCCCGCCUGGGAAUUAUGCUCGCAAGAGUGAAACUCAAGGAAUUGACGGGGCCCGCACAAGCGGUGGAGCAUGUGGUUUAAUUUGAUGCAACGCGAAGAACCUUACCAGGAUUUGACAUGUAACUUAAG